rnacentral:rRNA from 1 species
CGUCCGAGUUGUAACCUGGAGGAGCGCUUUCCGCGCCGGACCGUGUACAAGUCUCCUGGAACGGAGCGUCAUAGAGGGUGAGAAUCCCGUCCAUGACACGGACGCCCGGUGCUUUGUGAUUGCGCCCCCCGAAGAGUCGCGUUGUUUGGGAAUGCAGCGCAAAAUGGGUGGUAAAUUCCAUCUAAAGCUAAAUAUUGGCGAGAGACCGAUAGCGAACAAGUACCGUGAGGGAAAGAUGAAAAGCACUUUGGAAAGAGAGUUAAACAGUACGUGAAAUUGUUGAAAGGGAAACGCUUGAAGUCAGUCGCGUCGCACGGAACUCAGUCUGGCCUCGGCCUGGUGUACUUUCCGUGCGACGGGUCAACAUCAAUUUCGGGCGGCGGACAAGGGCGAGGGGAAUGUAGCGUCGCUUCGGCGGCGUGUUAUAGCCCCUUGUCGUAUACGCCGUGCGGGAUUGAGGACCGCAGCGCGCCCUUGUGGCCGGGGUUCGCCCACGUCACGCGCUUAGGAUGUUGGCAUAAUGGCUUUAAGCGACCCGUCUUGAAACACGGACCAAGGAGUCUAACAUGCUUGCGAGUGUUCGGGUGGAAAACCCUUGCGCGGAAUGAAAGUGAAAGUUGGGAGCCUCCGCGAGGGGGUGCACCGACGCCCGGCCCUGAAGUUCUCUGACGGUGCUGCGGUAGAGCAGGUGUGUUGGGACCCGAAAGAUGGUGAACUAUGCCUGAAUAGGGCGAAGCCAGAGGAAACUCUGG